GCNAGUGUAGCUCAGUUGGUAGAGCAUCUGCUUGCCAUGCAGAAGGUCGUGAGUUCGAACCUCAUCACUCGCUCCA
rnacentral:tRNA from 1 species